GACGGAGGAUGCAAGCGUUAUCCGGAAUGCUUGGGCGUAAAGCGUCUGCAGGUGGCAGUUCAAGUCUGCUGUCAAAGACCGGGGCUUAACUUCGGAAAGGCAGUGGAAACUGAACAGCUAGAGUAUGGUAGGGGCAGAGGGAAUUCCUGGUGUAGCGGUGAAAUGCGUAGAGAUCAGGAAGAACAUCGGUGGCGAAGGCGCUCUGCUGGACCAUAACUGACACUCAGGGACGAAAGCUAGGGGAGCGAAUGGG
rnacentral:rRNA from 1 species